rnacentral:misc_RNA from 1 species
AACCUAGCACACCUGCGGUGUGUACCUGCGGAGGGAUCAUCAGAGAGGGGUUGAGGUAUUCUGGCCUGUGAACAGUGUGCGGAGGCGCGUGCGCCGACGACAGCCGUGCCGUGAGCAGUGUACCAGGGCGUGAAGACAUACACACACACACAACUUUCAACAACGGAUCU